UACAGAGGGGGCGAGCGUUAUUCGGAAUUAUUGGGCGUAAAGGGCGCGUCGGCGGCCUUUCAAGUGACGGGUGAAAUCCCUCGGCUUAACCGAGGAACUGCCUGUCAGACUGGAAGGCUUGAGACCGGGAGAGGUGAGUGGAAUUCCCAGUGUAGCGGUGAAAUGCGUAGAUAUUGGGAGGAACACCAGUGGCGAAGGCGGCUCACUGGACCGGUACUGACGCUGAGGCGCGAAAGCGUGGGGAGCAAACAGG
rnacentral:rRNA from 1 species